rnacentral:rRNA from 1 species
UACGGGGGGGGCAAGCGUUGUUCGGAAUUACUGGGCGUAAAGGGCUCGUAGGCGGCCAAUUAAGUCAGACGUGAAAUCCCUCGGCUUAACCGGGGAACUGCGUCUGAUACUGGAUGGCUCGAAUCCGGGAGAGGGAUGCGGAAUUCCAGGUGUAGCGGUGAAAUGCGUAGAUAUCUGGAGGAACACCGGUGGCGAAGGCGGCAUCCUGGACCGGCAUUGACGCUGAGGAGCGAAAGCCAGGGGAGCAAACGGG